rnacentral:rRNA from 1 species
GACGAACGCUGGCGGCGUGCUUAACACAUGCAAGUCGAACGGAAAGGCCCUGCUUUUGUGGGGUGCUCGAUUGGCGAACGGGUGAGUAACACGUGAGUAACCUGCCCUUGACUUUGGGAUAACUUCAGGAAACUGGGGCUAAUACCGGAUAUGAGCUCCUGCUGCAUGGUGGUGGUUGGAAAGUUUCGGCGGUUGGGGAUGGACUCGCGGCUUAUCAGCUUGUUUGUGGGGUAGUGGCUUACCAAGGCUUUGACGGGUAGCCGGCCUGAGAGGGUGACCGGCCACAUUGGGACUGAGAUGCGGCCCAGACUCCUACGGGAGGCAGCAGUGGGGAAUAUUGCACAAUGGACGGAAGCCUGAUGCAGCAACGCCGCGUGCGGGAUGACGGCCUUCGGGUUGUAAAACGCUUUCGCCUGUGACGAAGCGUGAGUGACGGUAAUGGGUAAAGAAGCACCGGCUAACUACGUG